UACGUAGGGUGCAAGCGUUGUCCGGAAUUAUUGGGCGUAAAGAGCUCGUAGGCGGCUUGUCGCGUCGACUGUGAAAUCCCGCGGCUCAACUGCGGGUCUGCAGUCGAUACGGGCAGGCUAGAGUUCGGUAGGGGAGACUGGAAUUCCUGGUGUAGCGGUGAAAUGCGCAGAGUAUCAAGGAGGAACACCGGUGGCGAAGGCGGGUCUCUGGGCCGAUACUGACGCUGAGGAGCGAAAGCGUGGGGAGGCGAACA
rnacentral:rRNA from 1 species